AAUUAUAGUGGCCGCGAUGGUUCCCGGUGCCGGAUAGGCUCCGGGUGAAAAUGGGAACGACGGUGCGGCACCCGAAAAGGGGGCCAAAUCCGUGACUGCCCCCGCAACUGUAGGCGGAGAGGGUUCGGCCCCGGAGAUCGCCACUGGCUGGAAAACGGCUGGGAAGGCUAUGCCGAACCUCAUGACCCGCGAGUCAGGAGACCUGCCAUCACGAGAGUCGUUGCG
rnacentral:ncRNA from 1 species